UACGUAGGGGGCAAGCGUUGUCCGGAAUCAUUGGGCGUAAAGAGCGUGUAGGCGGCUCGAUAAGUCCGCUCUGAAAGCCCGGGGCUCAACCCCGGGAGGCGGGCGGAUACUGUCGAGCUAGAGUCCGGAAGAGGCGAGUGGAAUUCCUGGUGUAGCGGUGAAAUGCGCAGAUAUCAGGAGGAACACCAAUGGCGAAGGCAGCUCGCUGGGACGGUACUGACGCUGAGACGCGAAAGCGUGGGGAGCGAACAGG
rnacentral:rRNA from 1 species